rnacentral:rRNA from 1 species
CAGUAGCCACGGUAAUACGUAGGUGGCGAGCGUUGUCCGGAAUCAUUGGGCGUAAAGGGAGCGCAGGCGGGCACGUAAGUCUUUCUUAAAAGUUCGGGGCUCAACCCCGUGAUGGGAAAGAAACUACAUGUCUUGAGUACAGGAGAGGAAAGCGGAAUUCCCAGUGUAGCGGUGAAAUGCGUAGAUAUUGGGAGGAACACCAGUGGCGAAGGCGGCUUUCUGGACUGCAACUGACGCUGAGGCUCGAAAGCCAGGGGAGCGAACGGGAUUAGAUACCCCUGUAGUCCCUGUCUCUUAUACA